GGAUGUGAGUGUAUCUGGCUGUGAUAUCUGAUAUCCUUUCUAUCAUCUUGUUUGAUUAGACUGAUCUGACUGGCUAUGCAUGUGUGCCCUCUCUCACUUCUCCAGACAGGUCCCUCUAGAAGCUGCAUGCUGCACUGAGGAGGAUGACACUCGUAGGACAGAGCAGGGAAUAUUCUUCCAUUAAGAGUGUACAAGUAACUGUGCUCUCCUGCUAGAACCUUCAAACAAGCUCUCAAGGAAGCAGACCUAAAAUGAACGCAACAUGGCUCAGGGAAAUUUAUGGAAGAGGGCGAAAAGGGCCACACAAUGGGUCAUAAUAU
rnacentral:snRNA from 1 species